GAUGAACGCUGGCGGCGUGCCUAACACAUGCAAGUCGAGCGGACCAAUGCUCAUUUCAGCUUUACUGAUUUGAGCAUUGGUUAGCGGCGGACGGGUGAGUAACGCGUGGGCAACCUGCCCUGUGCAGGGGGAUAACACAGCGAAAGCUGUGCUAAUACCCCAUAAGACUACGCUAUCGCAUGAUAGAGUAGUCAAAGCUUUAGCGGCACAGGAUGGGCCCGCGUCUGAUUAGCUAGUUGGUGGGGUAACGGCCUACCAAGGCGACGAUCAGUAGCCGACCUGAGAGGGUGAUCGGCCACACUGGAACUGAGACACGGUUCAGACUCCUACGGGAGGCAGCAGUGGGGAAUAUUGCACAAUGGGGGAAACCCUGAUGCAGCAACGCCGCGUGAGCGAAGAAGGCCUUCGGGUCGUAAAGCUCUGUCCUAAGGGAAGAAGUAUGACGGUACCUUAGGAGGAAGCCCCGGCUAACUACGUGCCAGCAGCCGCGGUAAUACGUAGGGGGCGAGCGUUAUCCGGAAUCACUGGGCGUAAAGGGUGCGUAGGCGGCCGAGUAAGCCAGAGGUGAAAGGCUACGGCUUAACCGUAGUAAGCCUUUGGAACUACUUGGCUUGAGUGCAGGAGAGGAGAGUGGAAUUCCUAGUGUAGCGGUGAAAUGCGUAGAUAUUAUGAGGAACACCAGUGGCGAAGGCGACUCUCUGGACUGUAACUGACGCUGAGGCACGAAAGCGUGGGGGAGCUAACAGGAUUAGAUACCCUGGUAGUCCACGCCGUAAACGAUGAGUGCUAGGUGUCGGGGGUUCACACCCUCGGUGCCAGAGUUAACGCAAUAAUCACUCCGCCUGGGG
rnacentral:rRNA from 1 species